AUGAAAUUCAGCACAUUUCAAACAUAGCCAGAAUACUGAAUAAACUCAGACCAUACAAAGAUUCAUUUCUUAAGUAAUUCAUGAUUAACAGACACACUUACCUGGAAGCAUAAGAAAAGAAGGUUAGGAUGAAACUACAUCAUUCUUCCACUGAGUAAAAAUAUCUUGACUUUCCUCCUUGAAAUGGAAAGGAAUCUAAAAAAUAAAAAUAGGAGUCACUUCUGGGAAUUUCCACGUCUUAAAUAUAGAUGAUAUUACAAAAUUUUAAAUCACUUAUGAUCUAAAAUACAAUUUAUCCAACCAAAGUCCUGCCCCAAAAAGCAGGAUGGUAUUUUCCCUUUUCUAUUUUAAUGGGUAAAAUGCAAAGCAUUUGUUUAAAAAAAAAAAAAGAUCAAGGUUUAAAAUAAAUGCCGAGAGCCAUGUAGAUACGUGUGUAAAAGCAAAGCAGAGUCACACUCUUGGAAAAGAACCCAGAAAAAGCAAACCUCGCAGGGAGGAAGGGUGCCCGCUGGCUCCCGAAGGCGCCGGGGCCUGGGCUGUGCGUCCGCAGCGAAGCCGCGGUUCAGGUGGGGUCGGGGGACCGCGCGCCGCGCCGCCACUUUUUUCUAAUGGUCGGUCGUAGGGAAGGAAGAAAUGUUACAAAACAGCAAACCCCCGGGAAGUUGGAGAGCCCAGCUCCCCCGGCAGCGCGCCCCCACCGCCCCCGCAGACGNNNNNNNNNNNNNNNNNNNNNNNNNNNNNNNNNNNNNNNNNCUCCUCCCCUGACGGCCCCCUCCGCCCGCUCCGUCCAGCCCUGUGCCCCUCGGCCUUUCAGGAAUCCACCGAGCGCCCCUCGGUCCACGGAGAUCAACGAGGACGCAAAAGAGCAACUGGAAGAGAAACGCUGGGUUUUUUCAUCCACACACAGAGGCCCCAUUCAUCCGUCCAGCCCCUGAGUGCCUGUCCUGGCAACGCCAGACUACAGGUUAGGAGUUACAGGACAGCCCUGCUUCUCCUCGCCUCCUAGUAAAGCACACACGAACACUCGGCUCCUCGGCUCCGGGAAGCACAUUGUCUCCUUGCAGUUCCAAACAUCAGGUGCCCUAAGAAGGUGGUCAUCUCUCGCUGGUAAUAGAAAAGGAGAGACACAGGAAGGCAGAACCACUGGCAAGACUCCCUAGAGGUCAAGAUGAGAGGGGAGGUGCCACCAUGGAAAAUCACUGGAGGUGAGGCACAGAUACACAGAGGACAGGGGUCUGUGCAGCUGGGCUUCUCCUGUUAGGAAGAUGGGAAGGGUUGUCACCCACUUGUCUGCCACGUGCCUGCCUCACACUGCAAGAGCUGCUCCCAGGGUGAGCUCCUGCAAUCCCCACAGCAAUGCCAUGGGAGUCUGCAAAAACCUCCCCAUUCUACAGAUGGGGAAAAUGAGACUCAAAGGUGCUAAGAAGCCUCUCGGACAGAUAUAUGGUAAAGCCAGGAUUUUUCUGACUUCAAAACUGAAGCUCUAAAAAGAAAAAGAAAUGCAAGCCUCGACUUCCUCGAGGAUCUAACACGGUGGUCCUCAUGGGUGGUUCUCCAACAGGUGGGUGGCUGCCAGUGGUAACCUGCAGACACGCGGCUGGCAUCCGAAGAUCCUCCCCAGACUCCUGAAGCCCUCAUUAUUCACAAGAAAUCACAGUGACAAACUGCUCUUGGACAAGCCUUUCAGAGUAUCGAAGACAGAGACAAUAAGAAGGCGCUAAAAAUAAAAGCUAAAUCCAGAAAGCA
rnacentral:lncRNA from 1 species